rnacentral:rRNA from 1 species
GGCCAGCAGCCGCGGUAAUACGUAGGGGGCGAGCGUUGUCCGAAUUUACUGGGCGUAAAGCGCGCGUAGGCGGACUUUUAAGUUGUGGGUGAAAUGCCGAGGCUCAACCUCGGAACUGCCUGCAAAACUGGGAGUCUUGAGGUAUGGAGAGGGAAGUGGAAUUCCUGGUGUAGCGGUGAAAUGCGUAGAUAUCAGGAGGAACACCUGUGGCGAAGGCGGCUUCCUGGCCAUAUCCUGACGCUGAGGUGCGAAAGCCAGGGGAGCGAACGGGAUUAGAUACCCCGGUAGUCCUGGCCGUAAACGAUGGAUACUAGGUGUUAGAGGUAUCGACCCCUCUAGUGCCGUAGCUAACGCAUUAAGUAUCCCGCCUGGGGAGUACGGCCGCAAGGCUGAAACUCAAAGGAAUUGACGGGGGCCCGCACAAGG